GUGAAAGGGGGACAGACGGCGCGGGUAAUACGGAGGUGGCGAUCGUUAAUCUGAAGGAGAUGGCGUAAAGCGCGCGUAGGGGGUUCAGGAAGAUUGGUGUGAAAUCCCCUGGCUUAACCUGGGAACUGAGUUCAUAACUGCUGAGCGAGAGUACGGUAGAGGGUAGUGGAAUUUCCUGUGUAGCGGUGAAAUGCGUAGAUAUAGGAAGGAACACCAGUGGCGAAGGCGACUACCUGGACUGAUACUGACACUGAGGUGCGAAAGCGUGGGGAGCAAACAGGAUUAGAUACCCGAGUAGUC
rnacentral:rRNA from 1 species